ACAGUUUAUUUACCUUUGUAAAAGAUUUAAGAAUAUUUUUGUCAACUGCUCAUAGUAAUUUACGUGAUACUUUUUACAUUUGUUUAAAAUAUAUUGUUGGCAAUUAUUUGUUAAGGGUAAAAAUACCAGAAGCCCUAAUUUUUGUUUAUAUAUCUAUUACUGAAGGUUAUAAAAAUCAACAAACUAAGAUAACCUCAAAAUUCGUGUUUUUCUAUUUUCAAAUUCACGGUGGACCCAAACGAUGAAAUAAUAAACCAUUCAUCUUCCCUCUGAUCCGGUAUCACAAAUAGGCAAUUCGUAUACAAAUGUAAUACUCAAGUGGCAACACUUCAUAACAAAGCGAUACGAAAACUGGCUCAAAAAUCGAGCACCCCUAUAAAGUUCCUUUCCCCAAAGAGUAUACCCCAUGACAAUCAUGGGACAAGGUGGCUCUUUGUAAGUUUCGAUAACAAGUGUAACGGAUUCAAGAAUCAUCGAGGGGUGAAAAAUAACCACAAUUUUUUUUUUUUUUUAAGAAUGACAACGUCUUCUCCGUCUAGGAAUAAGCAUUUUAUUUAUUUCAAUGAAAAACAAAGGAUUUUGAUUGAAAAAGUUUAUCAAAAUUUUAUAUUUAAAACAAGUUUUAAGAAGAAAACGUUUUAUCAUCUUUUCAAAGGAAUAAAAAUGAAGAUCAUAAGUGGUCUUUAAAACUUGAUGAAUUUGGCAAUUCAAAUUUGACAUUUGACACUUAAUAAUCAUGAAUCAUUUUUGGGGAGACACCCAUUUUUUGAGAUUAUGAUCUAAGUAACUCUCAAUGUUAAGAGGUCAGAAAAAGGAUGAUACCCCACUCGAAGAACUAGUUUCGUAACUGCGGUGAUAAUUUUACGAAUGAUGGACGAAAUAAAUAUUCAAAUUUAAUAUUAACCCCAGCUCAGUUGCAAAGGGGGUUCAACUGACUUUUUAUGACAAGUGUAACGUACACAUUUCAGUUUCAUCAUAUAUAUAUAUAUACACUGUCUCCUGGAGGUAAUGAAUUAUUCCAAAAAAAGGAAGAAUACUGGUUAUGUAUUUUUUUGAGUCUAUCUCUUUUUUUUGUCACUUGAUUCAUUCUAUACGGAUUCGUUCAACUGCAUAAUUUGUAUCUUUCACGAGUUAAUUCUAAUGUAAAUAAAAUUCACAAAAGAUAUGUCAGUCAGUCUAUGUUCACAUCUGUGACAAAAUUGCAAAAUUAAUAUGAAUUUUUUGACACAUCGUUGAGAAGAAAAAAAUGAAAAGACUUUUUUUAGAAGUAAAACAAUUACGAAGCAAAUUCAAAUUGGUUAAUGGACUUCUUUGGAGAAAAAAAAAUGAAAUAAUUCUGGAAAUUUGUUUUUACAAAAUUUGGAAUUUAAUGAAAUUCGAGCUGAAGUUAAUAUUUAAAUUAAAUGCAAUCUAUUUUGAAAAAUAAUUUCAAUUGUUUAAAAGCAAUGAAAAAUUGAGAUAAAAUUUCUUGGGAAAAUAUAGAAAAUUAUUACACAAAUAAAACAGACUGUGCGGUAAUUAUUUUAAAAAUUAUUAUUAGAAUUUCUUGUCUUUUACGCAAAAAUAAUAGUGACAUACCUUUUCGUGACACCUCAUCUGUCAUUAUGAGCCAGCAAGCUCGUCUGAGUGUCAUUAAGCUUCAUUUACAAUCCACACCUUAUUAUGCAUAACUUAUGAAAAAAAGCCGCUAACGAUGCUGAGCCAGGGAAUCGAAAAAAAACUACUUAACAUCACAUCCCCCUUGCAAUCGCUCAUGAUUUCUCUCGUUUUUGCUCAUCAAUUUAAAUCCGUUUUUUUCUCCCAUGCUCUUCAACAAUGCACAUAAGAUAUUCUCUCAAGAGUUGCGAGAAGAAAAAAAACAAAUAUAUUCUCCAACC